GGGAAAGAUAAAAUCAAAAAUGCCAUCAAAUCAAAUAAUUUAAGUAUGCAAACACCUUUAACAAUUGACAUAGCGAAAAAAAGCUGGCCAGACAUUGCAAGAAAAUACUACAAUAAUCAAAUGGCCACUUUAAAUAAAAAGAAGAAAUCUGAAUUGUUUUUAACUACAAAAAAAUGGUGCGAAAAAAAGAAGGCUGAAGCAAAGGCUGCAGAAGAGAAGAUGGCUGCAGAAAAUGUUUAAGUAAACGUUGGUCAUGUUCAUCUACAUCGCCAAGUUACCUGAUCUACCUAGCUACGCUAUGUAGUAAUUUUGCAUAAAUAUUGAUGACCUUUCAUUGUAUUUUUAAAAUAUUUAAUAUUUAAAAAAAAACUUCCUUUUGCUAUAAUAUAUUAUUAUGAUUCAGAUGUUUACAUUUAGCAUUACAAUAUUAUUAAGGAUACCUUAGAUUUUUGACCAAGACUCAUUAGCUGACCGUAGACUGAUGUUAAGCAAUACUUUUCUUAGCGAUCCGUUAUCUAAUCCUAUAAAAACUCCUCUUAUCCGUUAUAAACUUUAAAUUUCCACAAUAGUCUAUCCGUACAGCUAUGUAGCUCUCAUAUUCUCCAUUCCCAAAAUUAAAAUAAAUUAUAUAUAAAAAAAACAAGCAACUAAGGCGCUUAUUAAUGUCUAUAUUGUCAAUAAAAAUCUCGGUUUCAUUUAAAAUUAUUUUUCUUUUUGUUUAAAUUUCUAAAAAAUGUUGUAUGUUAUUUAACAUUAUUAUUACUUUUAUUAUUAUGUCUACAACUCGCGGUAUUAUACUAUUACUCAAAUAUCAAAUAGGUACCUAGGUACCUACUUUAUAUUCAAAGAGCACUGGCAAAUUAUUUGUAAUAAAUAAACGUACCUAUUAUAAAUUAUAAGAAUAGCACGAUUCUAGAUAGAAUUCUAAAAAUAAUUAUAUAUUUAACAACAUAUUUUAUAUUGUUUGUACUACGAUUUUAAUUAACGAGUACAAUAAAUUACAGUUGUCUAGA